CAGCUCCUGUGCUUAUAAGCAAAGCUGAAUUUGGUUUUUGGUAAACUCUGUAACAACCUGCUUCUAUUGGAAGCCCUGGCUUUUUGAGAGGAAAAGUGGAAGCCUGCUUCUGGCUUCCAAAAGCCGUGUGGCUACUGUAGCGUGAAUUAAUGUACUUUUCGAAAUACCAAUGGGUACCCUCAUGAAUUUGGUGUAAUUACACGACCCAACCUCCACCCCUACCGAAGAGACGCCUCUUCUCUUCCUCAACUCUCUGUCUUCUCCGUCAACUCUCUCUCUCGGUGCUCUUAAGAUGUCGUUCCUCCAUCUUCGCUCUCCCCAAUGGUCACCUCGAGUUCGGUGAAUAUCCAAAUGGCCUUAAUUUGAAUAGGAGCAAAGCAGCUUCAUCCAGUGCAUACGAUUCUGUAGUUUCUCGUGAUGUCAAACAUAUAUGUCCAUGAUGGGGCACUUGGUUCAUCACUCAAAGCUGGUGCAAAAGUUCGCGUUAUAAGUGAUAGCCCAUCUGCUGUAUUGUCACUUUCCAGCAUUCUCAGGGGGACUCCCACCCGUGUAGUCUCUCGUGAUUCUCGUCCUUUAACAGUUUAUAUGGCUACUUCUAUAAGUUGCUAGUGGGAAGGAUUUGGAAGAAACAGGGAGUCAGGAUGAUGAGCUUUUGGAUCUCAGUUAAGAUGAUUUUUUUCUAAGUGGAAGCUCUAGUGAUGAAGCAAAUGAAUGGAUAGAUAAGAGUACAAGGGAACAGGCUUCUAGUACUUCUAAGAAAGCAGCAUCUGGCAUGUCCAGUGACGAGAGAUCAGAGACAGAUUUCAGCUAGAGCUUUGAUGCCUGCCCCUCGGCAUCAAGUAAUUCUCGCUCAAGUUCAGUACGUGCUCAAUCAAGAUUCAGUCCUUCAUCAAGAAAAAGUUCACCAAAACAUGCUGAAAUGUCUACAUCCAGCAAUACAUCAAGUAGCAGAGGUGAAAUGAAGCUAGAUGAUACUGAUUUCGCCAAUUUUGAGCUUUGUUUCCAAAGAGGGAAACCAAUGUUACUGGACUCGUGAUGAUCUUUUAUUUUAUAGUUUUUAAUUUUGAUCCUUGGUUUGAGCUUGAUAUAGAA